GCCAGAUGAUGCACUUUUUAGUUGAGCUUUGUGCAGUGAGAACUCCUAUCUAUCACCCAUAAUACUGAUGGCC
rnacentral:snoRNA from 1 species